UUCAGCAGCAUUGCUCUCAUUUUUUACGUUAGCGCUGAAAGCGGAUGUAUGGAGGAAAGGAAACACAGAGCACAAUUCGCUCGCGCUAUUUGCCUCCAGACUGGAGCCGGCGUGUGGUCCAGCACUCUGUCUUUGUCCACUUUUGAAAACUUCGUGCGCACAUACGACAGGCAUCCCAACGGUCAUCCAAAGCACGUGUGUGCCCCCCACCACCUCCCAAACCUGGAAACGGACCCCCGGCCAAUCCUACCUCCAGAGAAAGAUCCUUUCGUCAUGGUGAAACAGCCAAAAACUCACUGAACAAGAAGAAAAAAAGUAGUUGAAAUGUACAGCUGAAAAGACUCAGACUGAUGAGAACAAGUAGAAAAGCAACUGAGGAUCUUGGAUCAUCAUGGGAAUGGUGGCAGGGAAAGCAAAUCAAGUCUGAAUACAGUCUGCUUUGGAAGAAGACUAUACAACUGAAAGCCCAGAACAUGACACUAUGUGGAUUGUUUUCUCGGAGGAGUUACCCUGAUUGUCAAGCUAAACUGAAAAACAGCAGAAUAAAAAAGCAUUCCUACCCGACAUAACGAUCCAAUCCAUCACCGUCCCAACUGUAAUAAGAAGACUCCUCUUCCGGCUUCAAGAAAAUACCUCACUUCCAGUCCCCUUCUGAUGUCCUCUGCUAUUAACGUCAUCUCCGGCCACUACUACCUUCUAUCACACCAGCUGCUGUUAAUUUAAUUUCCUGUUUAGCCGGUUUUCUGUCAAAUGUUUGAGUUGCUUGACGACACUUUGACUGUACUGGAACCUGAACCCAGUAUACGGGGA